AGCUGCCGUGCUAUGAAAAGCCGAGACCCCAUGAAGAGGCCAUGUGUAGCUGCCUCAGCCGAACUUCCAGCUGAUAGCCAAUGUCCACUGCCAGCUACAUGAGGGAGCCAUUUUGGACUUCCAGCCCAUCUAGUCUUCAGAUGACUCUAGCCCCAGCUGACAUCCAACUGUGACAUGAGACCCCACACAGAACCACCUGGCUGAGCCCAGCCAGCUCACAGGUCUAUGGAAGCCCCGGGAGGUCAUGUGACACAGUUCUGGCCAACGAGAUGCAAGUGCACAAGGGAGUCUUUGUUGGGACAGACGAGCUGCCUGCCUCCUCCUUCCUGCCUUGCAUGGAAAUGCUACACUUGGAGCAGCUGCCACCAUCUUGCAACCCUGAAGUGAAAGGCAGCGAAGCCGGGAUGCCAGUCCAGAGACUGGAAGGAAGGGUAUCCGGGAAACUAAAUCCAACAUGUGUGAUGUCUACAGCUACUGAAAUAAGUUUCAAUCCAAUGCGAUCUGUCCAUCCAUCCAUCUGUCGGUCAAUGAUAUUCCCACUCAACAAGAAUUCACUGAACACACCAGCCAUGUUUCCAGUUCCUGCUAGGCACUACUGAGAGAUGUAAAAAACUGAGUGGCAGCUCCCACCCUCCCAAAGCUCACAUAAUGUACUUCAUGGCUAGAGAAAAGAAACUCUUUGCAACUCCCCAACCUGGCCUUCUAAGAUCCCCACGAAUUCCCUCUGGGUAGAAAGGAGCAAAAUGUCACUUUGUUAUAACUAUAGAGAGAGCUCAGGGUUGAGACCUGAUCACCUGUGCUUUCUCUAAACAGUUUUGGUUUCCCAAAGCUUUAAGGAAAUAAUACUAUUAUACUAAUGCCUACGUAGUCAGCCUAAAUAUCUCCCGGGAUGCCAUAGUUUUGACUUAGCCAAACAUUUACUGAGCACCUACUAUGUGCAGAAGUCAUGCUGUGGGGACAAAUAUCUAAGGACUUGUCCCUAAUAAAAAGGAACUUGUGAAGGGAGAUAAAAUAUGUAAAAUAUGGCCGAGUGCUGAAAGACACAGCACCAUGGGUUAUAGGAGUUCAGAGGAGGCAAACAUUCUGCUGAGAAAGUUUCCUGGAGGUGGUGGCAUGACAAUUUUGUGCAGAAGGAUGGGUAGCGUUGAGCCAGGGAAGCAGAGAGGGAUGGAGUGAAAGUCAUUCUUGACAGAAUGGAGCCCAGUGGCCCAACACUGGGACCAUCAGUAAUAAACCCAGGGUAGAGUCAUGGUGCCAAGACCUGGGCUUGAAUCCUCACUCUACUCUUUGGGUAGUAAGAGUAAAGUAAGAGUAAACUUGUAAAGGCUAAAAAACAGUACAAUCUAAAACAUUACCAGCAUUUUCAUCCUGUUUUCCUGAAAAGGCUAUGGAUUUUGGAGCUGGUUUCAGAUGAGAAGAUGGGCAGGUAUGCAUUAAAGUGGAAAUGAAACCAUGACAUAUUUUUUUAAAGGCAAGACAAAGGGGAUAAAAUGGAGGCAUGUGAUAUGAAGCCUGGGGACCUUCGGUCAGGC